rnacentral:rRNA from 1 species
UGGGGAAUUUUGGACAAUGGGGGAAACCCUGAUCCAGCCAUGCCGCGUGAGUGAAGAAGGCCUUCGGGUUGUAAAGCUCUUUCGGCCGGGACGAAAUCGCACACGUGAAUAUCGUGUGUGGAUGACGGUACCGGCAGAAGAAGGACCGGCUAACUACGUGCCAGCAGCCGCGGUAAUACGUAGGGUCCGAGCGUUAAUCGGAAUUACUGGGCGUAAAGCGUGCGCAGGCGGUUUUGUAAGCCAGAUGUGAAAUCCCCGGGCUCAACCUGGGAACUGCAUUUGGGACUGCAAGGCUUGAGUACGGCAGAGGGGGGUAGAAUUCCUGGUGUAGCAGUGAAAUGCGUAGAUAUCAGGAGGAAUACCGAUGGCGAAGGCAGCCCCCUGGGUCGAUACUGACGCUCAUGCACGAAAGCGUGGGGAGCAAACAG